rnacentral:rRNA from 1 species
CAAUAGCGUAUAUUAAAGUUGUUGCGGUUAAAAAGCUCGUAGUUGGAUUUCUGCCGAGGACGACCGGUCCGCCCUCUGGGUGAGUAUCUGGUUCGGCCUGGGCAUCUUCUUGGAGAACGUAUCUGCACUUGACUGUGUGGUGCGGUAUCCAGGACUUUUACUUUGAGGAAAUUAGAGUGUUCAAAGCAGGCCUUCGCUUGAAUACAUUAGCAUGGAAUAAUAGAAUAGGACUUUGGUUCUAUUUUGUUUGGUUUCUUAGGACCGAAGUAAUGAUUAAUAGGGACGAGUUGGGGGUCGAUUAGUAUUUAAUUUAGUUCAGAGGUGGAAAUUACUUUGGAUUUAUUGAAAGAACUAACUACUGCGAAAGACAUUUGUCCAAGGAAUGUUUUCUAUUAAUCAAGAACGAAAGUUAGGGGGAUCGAAGAUGAUUAGAUACCAU